CUGAUUUUUCUAUCUCUUCAGUGCCUCUUUCAACAAUAUGAAGUUCAAACCAGGUACUGAGGUACUGGGAGUGCUCAUCUAGUUUUGGCUUUUAGUUUUGUGCAAAUAUCUGCUGAGUAAACUACUUAUUUGAAAAGACAUCAUUGGUUAAUAUUCCCUUUUGCUCAUUGAAAUCUCAAAGACUAGAGACCCAGCACAAGACAUUCUGACAUUCCCGUCUUUGAAAUGAAUGACAACGAUGGUAAAUGUGGCUCACCUCCAGAGAUACAGAUCUCACAAUUUCAUAUUUUUAAUAUACAUUAUUAAUCCGAGGUGUGGUGCAAUUCCGUUAGAUGAAAGAGAUCUACACAUUCAGAAGCACAUGAUUCUUCCCCCUUCCAUGAUUCCAGUGGCCAAUAGACAAACUGCAAUAAAGCCAUGCCCCGACUGGAUGUGCCUAACAUUUGUCUGGUGCUUAAAGGAGUUGGCUGCAUGCAUGGGAUGGAAAAGGAUUCAACAUUUAAUGGCAGUUAGAAUCAAAUUUUUAACUCAAGAAGGCAGAAGGAAUCCACCUAAAUAAAUGUUGGAAAGUCACCAAAAAUAGUUCUCCAAGUCAGAAGCGGUGCAAAAGCUGCCUCAACUCUUGGUGGAUUUUCAAUUUCUCCCAGCCAUCUCUGUUUCUCUAAAGGUUUCUGAAGACAGUGGGUAUGUGGCAAAAUUCUGCAGUUCUAUAUUAAGAUAAACUGUUAGAUCAAUUA
rnacentral:lncRNA from 1 species